rnacentral:lncRNA from 1 species
CAAGGGCACACGCAUACUCACACGCGCACCCUAAUUGAGAUAUCAUAUUACAAUGGUAACAAAUAUAUUAGUAUUUCUUACAUGCUGGCAGCUUAAGCAAGCACACUGCGCUAUUAACUUCAGUCAGAUGUAGUAAUCUGUCACAAGAGCGUGACCACUUCAGAUCACCAUAUAAAAGAGCGGGACCAGCAGCACACUUCAGAGGAAAGUUGAUUUUAUCCCUAAAUAAGAUGAUCCAUUUGACAUGCUCUAAAUGGACUAAUGAAAUAAUGUAGAACUCCUCUGCAACUCCGGGGAUUUUGUAAUUAACUGCAGAUUGUACAAAGUGUCAAACAUGUGAUUUAAGUAAAAUGUAGAGCAAUGGAACUCCAAGUCAUAUGCCUGAAUAAAGCAUUAACCUACAAGAAUCACAAGGGCUAAAAAUUCAGAACGCAGAAAAUCUACAUAUGCCAAGAAGGUCACUCACCAAUAACCAUGUGUACUUCCAUAUUGCGUA